rnacentral:rRNA from 1 species
AGCGAACGCUGGCGGCAGGCCUAACACAUGCAAGUCGAACGAAGUCUUCGGACUUAGUGGCGGACGGGUGAGUAACACGUGGGAACGUGCCUUUAGGUUCGGAAUAACUCAGGGAAACUUGUGCUAAUACCGAAUGUGCCCUUCGGGGGAAAGAUUUAUCGCCUUUAGAGCGGCCCGCGUCUGAUUAGCUGGUUGGUGAGGUAAAGGCUCACCAAGGCGACGAUCAGUAGCUGGUCUGAGAGGAUGAUCAGCCACAUUGGGACUGAGACACGGCCCAAACUCCUACGGGAGGCAGCAGUGGGGAAUCUUGCGCAAUGGGCGAAAGCCUGACGCAGCCAUGCCGCGUGAAUGAUGAAGGUCUUAGGAUUGUAAAAUUCUUUCACCGGGGACGAUAAUGACGGUACCCGGAGAAGAAGCCCCGGCUAACUUCGUGCCAGCAGCCGCCGUAAAAC